UUGGAGGGCAAGUCUGGUGCCAGCAGCCGCGGUAAUUCCAGCUCCAAUAGCGUAUAUUAAAGUUGUUGCAGUUAAAAAGCUCGUAGUUGAAUUUCGGAAUCUGUCCGUCGGUCGGGCUUCAUUGUCCGUACUGGUGUGAUGGGUUUCUACCUUCUGAAUAAUCGGCAUGUCAUUAAUUUGGUGCGCCGGGGAAGCAGAACUAUUACCUUGAAAAAAUUAGAGUGCUUAAAGCAGGCUAUCGCCUGAAUAGAUUAGCAUGGAAUAAUAAAAUAGGACGGCACGGUUCUAUUUUGUUGGUUUCUAGGAUCACCGUAAUGAUUAAUAGGGAUAGUUGGGGGCAUUAGUAUUCAAUUGUCAGAGGUGAAAUUCUUGGAUUUAUUGAAGACUAACUUCUGCGAAAGCAUUUGCCAAGGAUGUUUUCAUUAAUCAAGAACGAAAGUUAGGGGAUCGAAGACGAUCAGAUACCGUCGUAGUCUUAACCAUAAACUAUGCCGACUAGGGAUCGGACGAUGUUAAUUUUUUAAUGACUCGUUCGGCGCCUUACGGGAAAC
rnacentral:rRNA from 1 species